GUAUUUUUAGUAGAGACAGGGUUUCACCAUGUUGACCAGGUUGGUCUGGAACUCCUGACCUCAGGUGAUCCUCCCAACUCGGCCUCCCAAAGUGCUGGGAUUACAGGCGUGAACAACUAUGCCCAGCCCCUGAUAAACAUGUACAGAGCA